ACUUUGCCUUUUUGGAAAUAUUUGGGUUAUCCUAUCCUUAAUCGUCCACCAAAAUCCUUGGACAUUCAUUAUAUUACUGACAACAUGUACUUAAAGCUAUCCUCCUGGAAGACUAAAUUUCUUACCCCGUCUGGAAGAAUUACUCUUAUUAAUGUGACUUUGAAUUCCAAACCAGUGUAUUCUAUGCAAUAUUUUCAUCUUCCCAACAAGAUUACUAAGUAUAUCGACAAAAUCUAGUGUAACUUUUUGUGGGGUUCUUCACUAGACAAUAGGAAACUUUAUCUCUUAGACUGGUCCACCGUUACAAGACCUUAUAAUAAAAGAGGCCUUUCCAUUAAGAAAGACUCUCAAAAAAAUUUAGUUUUUCUUAGCAGCCUUGCUUGGCAUCUUUUUACUAGUCCUAAUCUUUUUUGGGUUCAGUGUCUCAUCAAUUAAUAUUCCUACCUUCGUUCCUUAACUUUCCAUUCCUUUACUUGGAAAAAUGUUCUUUUAGGAUAGAAAAAAAGUCAAUAGGGAGUCUUUUGGAAUGUUAGGAAUGGUACGUCCAUUAAUAUAUGGAACUUCAACUAGAUAUCCCCCAAUAUUAUUCUCCAUCUCUUAUCCAAGGUCUUCUUCUGUAACACGAGUCUUUCAGAAAAAUAGCUGACUAUAAAACUCAUAAUGCUUGGUCCUGGGACUCUUUCCCUUUUAUUAUCCCCGAUGAUAUCAAAAACUUAAUCAAUCAAGUUUCUAUUAAUGAACUUGCUCACCAAAUAGACUCCACUUGUUAAGGUCUUGAAAAGAAUGGCUUAUUCACCACUUCUUCCAUCUAUAGCCUCUUAACUCCUACCAAUGAGUAAAUUCCUAAUUUCCAAUGGAUUUGGGAUUCCCCAACCUUAGGAAAAAUAAAAUUCUUCCUAUUAUUUUGUGCUCAUGAUCGUUUACCUAUGAAAAAUAUCUUUGAUGUUUGGAAAUUAUCAUAAAUGAUCUUUGUUUUCGAUGUCAUCUCAAGGUUGAGGGCGCUUAUGAUAUUCUUAUUGAUUGAACUAUAGUGUGUUUCUUUUGGGCCACUUGGAAUAUUUCAUUGGAUCAAUGUCCUCCAGCUCCCAUCAAAUAAUGGCUUGUCUUCUUAAGAGAUCUAUCUCACUCUCUACCUAACCCCUAUAUCAACUGGACUCUCUUUUACUCUUUUGCUAUUUGGUUCACCUUGAAUAAUCAAAAUCAUGCCUAUUUCAAUAACACCAUGUGUACUCCUUCACCUAAUCACCUUAUUCAAAUUGUGCGUGAGUUUUACUUCUUCACUGAUACUCACAUCUCUAGUAAUAAAUAUGUUAAUAUUAUGAUUAAAUGGUACCCUCCGUAGAAAGGCUGGUUUAAAUUAAAUAUUAAAGGUGCAUUCCAUUCUCACACUCUCCGAGGUGGUAUUGGAGGAGUUUUGUGAAAUCAUGAAGGUAAGUGGUGUUUGGGCUUCAAUGGUGCUACAACAGCUGUGACAUGCCUACAGAUGGAACUUAAAGCUCUCUAGGCGUGCGUUAAACUCUCUUACAUUCAUCACUUUCAAGCUCUUGAGGUACUAUUUGAAGAAGCUGUUGUAUCCUCUGCUUCGCCACAACUUCAGGGAAGCAAAUAGAGUGCCUUAUCAACUAUCUAUGGAAGGAAAAAUAAGUUUGGAAACUACUCCUGUAGUGUUUUACUCCCAGAUAGUCCAUGAGGACUUGCAACUGCAUACUAUUUGUAGGAAAGUGUCUACAAUGGCUUGUACUACUCUUUCUAGGUCGGGUAAUCUUUGUGUAAUCAAAUAUAAUGUAGUGCUUUGAAUAGUAUAAAUAAAUAACUUCGGCUUUCCAAAAAAAAA